CCAGGGACCCUGGUAUCCCUGGCUCGAGCCCAGCGUGCGCCUCGGCCUGCUAGGGGUACCCCAAGGCAGACAGAAGGCCCAUGAGGGAAAGGUGCAGCAGUCCAUCUGGUGCUUGAGUGUCAACCUAAGGCCUGAUGUCUAUGUUGGACCUUGGGUUCACCUGAGGCCUGAUAUCCACCUGGGGCCUCAAUGUCCAAAUGGGGCCUGAUGCCCAUCUGGGUCCUGGGUGUCCACCUGCAGCAUGGAUGUCCACUGGUACUUUAUGUCCACCAGGGGCCUAAUGUCCACCUAAGACCUGGUGUUCACCUGGGGUCUGAUGUUCAGCUGAAGACAGGAUGUCCACCUGGAGCUGAGGAAUCCACCCAGGGACUGGUGUUGAACUGGGGCCUGAUGACCACCCGGGGACAAGCUCCUGCUUCAGGUGCAGAAACACAGCUAUUUCCAGUGCCAGCUGUUGAGCCAGUGCCAGCACCAGGGGCAGAGCCCCUUCCAGGGACAGCGCUGGAGCUAGAGGAAGCUCCAGAGCCCUCCUGCCGCUGCCCUGGGACUGCACAGGACCAGCCUAGUGAGAAGCUGCCUGACUUCAUGGCACCUCCUGUAGAGCCACUGGCCUCAGCCCUGGAGCUGAAAGUGUGGCUGGAGCUAGAGGUGGCAGAGAGGGGGUGACCAGCACAGCUCCAGCCAGCAGCUCCCACACUGCUCCCAGUCCUGGGCACAGUGGAAGCUAUGGAGGCAGAGACCAGGGUGUGCAACCUGGGCUCCUCUGCCUCACUGGAGAGGGACUUCUCUCAUUCAGCAGAGCAGCAGCCCUGCUGCUGAAGGCCCUGCCGCUACUGCUGCUGGAGGUGUUUGCCUGCCUGCAGGAGGUGCUGGAGAGCAAGAAAAGGAGCCUGUGAGCAGGGGUUCCAGCAGGUCCUCCUGCUCCCAGAGGCGACCUCCUCCUCCAGGAAUGGAGGUUUGCCCUCAGCUGGGCAUCUGGGCCAUUUGCCUCUAAUGUGCUGCCCAGGAUGGCCUCUUCUUGACAGGUGGACAGGGGUUGAGGGGGCCAGGGGGCAUCUCCAAAGGAAGCUCUUAAACUCAGCAGCAGCACUCCAGAAUCUCCAUGCCUGCACCUGCCCAAGGAUUUAUUCAUAGCUUAACUAAGAAUUUCAAAUUUCUACCAUAACACUGAAAUAAAGUUUGACUUUUUGAAACUUC